AUACUUAGUGGCAGACGGGUGAGUAACAUGUGGGUAUCUACCCUUUGGCCUGGAAUAACACGAGGAAACUUGUGCUAAUACUGGAUAAGUCUUUACGGAGAAAGCUUUAUGCACCAUUGGAUGAGCCUGCACUUGAUUAGUUUGUUGGUGGGGUAAUGGCCUACCAAGACUUUGAUCAAUAGCUGAUUUGAGAGGAUGAUCAGCCACAUUGGGACUGAGACACGGCCCAAACUCCUACGGGAGGCAGCAGUGGGGAAUCUUGCACAAUGGAGGAAACUCUGAUGCAGCGAUGCCGCGUGAGUGAAGAAGGCCUUUGGGUUGUAAAGCUCUUUCGUCGGGGAAGAAAAUGACUGUACCCGAAUAAGAAGGUCCGGCUAACUUCGUGCCAGCAGCCGCGGUAAUACGAAGGGACCUAGCGUAGUUCGGAAUUACUGGGCUUAAAGAGUUCGUAGGUGGUUAAAAAAGUUGGUGGUGAAAUCCCAGAGCUUAACUCUGGAACUGCCAUCAAAACUUUUUAGCUAGAGUAUGAUAGAGGAAAGCAGAAUUUCUAGUGUAGAGGUGAAAUUCGUAGAUAUUAGAAAGAACACCAAAUGCGAAGGCAACUUACUGGGUCACUACUGACACUGAGGAGCGAAAGCAUGGGUAGCGAA
rnacentral:rRNA from 1 species